GAUGAACGCUGGCGGCGUGCCUAAUACAUGCAAGUCGAGCGAACAGAUGAGAAGCUUGCUUCUCUGAUGUUAGCGGCGGACGGGUGAGUAACACGUGGGUAACCUACCUAUAAGACUGGGAUAACUCCGGGAAACCGGGGCUAAUACCGGAUAAUAUUUUGAACCGCAUGGUUCAAUAGUGAAAGACGGUUUCGGCUGUCACUUAUAGAUGGACCCGCGCCGUAUUAGCUAGUUGGUAAGGUAACGGCUUACCAAGGCGACGAUACGUAGCCGACCUGAGAAGGUGAUCGGCCACACUGGAACUGAGACACGGUCCAGACUCCUACGGGAGGCAGCAGUAGGGAAUCUUCCGCAAUGGGCGAAAGCCUGACGGAGCAACGCCGCGUGAGUGAUGAAGGUCUUCGGAUCGUAAAACUCUGUUGUUAGGGAAGAACACGUACGAGAGGAAAUGCUCGUACCUUGACGGUACCUUGCGAGAAAGCCACGGCUAACUACGUGCCAGCCGCCGCCGUAA
rnacentral:rRNA from 1 species